CAGUCGCCGCGGGAAAACGAAGGGGGCUAGCGUUGCUCGGAAUUACUGGGCGUAAAGGGAGCGUAGGCGGAUGUUUAAGUCAGAGGUGAAAGCCCAGGGCUCAACCUUGGAACUGCCUUUGAUACUGGACAUCUUGAGUGUGGGAGAGGUAAGCGGAACUCCGAGCGUAGAGGUGAAAUUCGUAGAUAUUCGGAAGAACACCAGUGGCGAAGGCGGCUUACUGGCCCAUUACUGACGCUGAGGCUCGAAAGCGUGGGGAGCGAACAGGAUUAGAUACCCCAGUAGUCCCUGUCUCUUAUAA
rnacentral:rRNA from 1 species